rnacentral:rRNA from 1 species
UCGAGGGGCAGCAUAGUAAAAGCUUGCUUUUAUUGAUGGCGAACGGCGCACGGGUGAGAUACGCGUAUGCAAACUGUCUUACACAGGGGGAUAGCCCGGAGACAUCCGGAUUAAUACCGCAUAAUGAUCAAAUUUCGCAUGUUCUUUGAUUUAAAGCUUCGGCGGGGUAAAGAAGGGCAUGCGUAGCAUUAGCUUGUUGGUGAGGUAACGGGUCACCAAGGCGAUGAUGCUUAGGGGGUCUGAGAGGAUAGUCCCCCACACUGGUACUGAGACACGGAACAGACUCCUACGGGAGGCAGCAGUGAGGAAUAUUGGUCAAUGGGCGCAAGCCUGAACCAGCCAUGUCGCGUGCAGGAUGACUGCCCUAUGGGUUGUAAACUGCUUUUUUACGGGAAUAAACCUUCCUACGUGUAGGGAGCUGAAGGUACCGUAUGAAUAAGGAUCGGCUAACUCCGUGCCAGCAGCCGCGGUAAUACGGAGGAUUCGAGCGUCAUCCGGAUU